rnacentral:rRNA from 1 species
AGUGAACGCUGGCGGUAGGCCUAACACAUGCAAGUCGAACGGCAGCACAGUAAGAGCUUGCUCUUACGGGUGGCGAGUGGCGGCCGGGUGAGGAAUACAUCGGAAUCUACUUUUUCGUGGGGGAUAACGUAGGGGAACUUACGCUAAUACCGCAUACGACCUACGGGUGAAAGCCGGUGAUCUUCGGACCUUGCGCGAUUGCAUGAGCCGAUGUAGGAUUAGCUAGGUGGGGGGGGAUAGGCCCACCAAGGCGACGAUCCGUAGCUGGUCUGAGAGGAUGAUCAACCACACUAGAACUGAGACACGGUCCAGACUCCUACGGGAGGCAGCAGUGGGGAAUAUUGGGCAAUGGGCGCAAGCCGGAUCCAGCCAUACCGCGUGGGUGAAGAAGGCCUUUGGGUUGUAAAGCCCUUUUGUUGGGAAAGAAAAGCAGCAGGUUAAGACCCCGCUGUUCUGACGGUACCCAAAGAAUAAGCACCGGCUAACUUCGUG